rnacentral:lncRNA from 1 species
CUGUCAUUCAACAGUAGUCAAUGUUGGUGAGAAGAGCUGUAGGUAAUACAGGUUAAAGUCAUGAACUGCCCAACCACGCUAGUUUUACUACUUCUUCAGCGUCUAAUUCCUUCCAGACGCCCCGGGUUUAUGCUUCCUGCACGUAGCUCCUUACAUUUCAAAAGACUCUUAACCAGGGAGAGUUUUUGGACUUGUUUUAAUAAGGGGGGAAGGUUUGGGGAUGAGGAGGAGCAACUUAUUGAGGAGAAGAGAGAGAAAAAAAGUUGAUGCCCACAAGACCUGAGCCCUAGGACCAUGCCUCAGGACUACCUGGUAUGAUGACUCCUUGCUGUCCCCAGUCCACCUGGCCGUGCUGCUGCUCCAGUUUCAACUGUUCUGCCUGCGGCUAUGGAACCCUGACCUGUUCACCGGACGUGCUUGUUGCACCCUCGACAACUACUAUGAUUAUUAUUAUUUGACCAUGCUGGUCAUUUAUGAACAUUUUAACAUUUUAACAUUUUGACCAUGUUCUGUUAUAAUAUCCACCCUGCACAGCCAGAAGAGGACUGGCCACCCCUCAUAGCCUGGUUCCUCUCUAGGUUUCUUCCUAGGUUUUUGGCCUUUCUAGGGAGUUUUUCCUAGGGAGUUUUUCCUAGCCACCGUGCUUCUUUCACAUGCUUUGCUUGCUGUUUGGGGUUUUAGGCUGGGUUUCUGUACAGCACUUUGAGAAUAUCAGCUGAUGUACGAAGGGCUAUAUAAAAAUAAAUUUGAUUUGAUUUGAUUUGAUAUGAAGACAUGGACAUAUGAAGACAUGGACAUAUGAAGACAUGGACAUAUGAGGACAUGGACAUAUGAAGACAUGGACAUAUGAAGACAUGGACAUAUAUGAGGACAUGGACAUAUGAGGAUAUGGACAUAUGAGGACAUGACAUAUGAGGACAUGGACAUAUGAGGACAUGGACAUAUGAAGACAUGGACAUAUGAGGACAUUGACAUAUGAAGACAUGGACAUAUGAAGACAUGGACAUAUGAGGACAUGGACAUAUGAAGAAACGGAGUUAUGAGGACAUGGACAUAUGAGGACAUGGACAUAUGAGGACAUUGACAUAUGAGGACAUGGACAUAUGAAGACAUGGACAUAUGAGGACAUGGACAUAUGAAGAAACGGAGUUAUGAGGACAUGGACAUAUGAGGACAUGGACAUAUGAGGACAUGGACAUAUGAAGACAUGGACAUAUGAAGACAUGGACAUAUGAAGACAUGGACAUAUGAGGACAUGGACAUAUGAGGACAUUGACAUAUGAAGACAUGGACAUAUGAAGACAUGGACAUAUGAGGACAUGGACAUAUGAGGAAAUGGACAAUGCCAACGACAUAAAAUUGGGAAACAAUUUUACGGUCCCUACACAGGCUCAGAAGGAUCGUGUGAUGAGGGACAUUUCCUGGCGACAGUAGUCCUUGCAGGGCUUCUGCCGUUAAGUCAUGAUGUCCAGCUUGUGCAGUACAAUUAAUAACUGUGGCUAUAAACGCUACAAAAUCCACCUUCUUCACAAUAAGUGUAUCCAGAUCACCUGAUUGACGUGACACAUUUGAAAUUGGUUGAGGUCCAUCCACCACCAUAUCUUCUUCAGACCUGUGACCUCUUACCCCUUCAACGCUCUUCACCACCUCCACAUAGCAGAUUUGAUGUACAGUCCUGAUCCUUGACACCUCAACCUCUUUCACCCUAACAGGGCACUCUGGGAAUUUGGGAAUAUGAUCCCCACCACAGUUGCAACAUUUUACAUUCCAUAACAUAUUCCUUCCAUCUGCAAACACUUGACACAUGGCCAAACUUUUUUACACUUCUGGCAUUGCAUGGGGUUUUGCACGAACGUUCUUAC